UCACAUGCCUCUAGGGGUGAUGGGCACACUGUGGGGUCCUCCGUUGCUAAAGCGGAGGAAUGGUGCGGGCUGCGGUAGGUCAGUAUGCUCCCAAAUGGCUCGGAAAACAUUGGGGCUACAACUGGUUGGGACAAUGGGCACCUACAGCUAGAAGGUGACCGGUAAGUCUCUUAAAACCCAUGCCUUAGUUCGGAUUGAGGGGCUGAAACUCGCCCUCAUGAAGGUCCGGAAUCCCGUACGUAAUUCGCGUAUCAAAAAACGCGCUGGUCAAUACGUCCCUCGCUGCCUUGCACCACGCCGGCCCGGCCAAAGCCAUUGCGCGGGCGGUUUGGAAUUGAGGGCCCAUUAUUUCAGGCGUGGUUCAGAACAUUCAGGCUUACGCGAGGCGGGGUAAGUCCGUAAUCAACGGAGCGUAAUCAUCUAAGAGCGGCCGCCUGGCAUGGUCGCCCAUAAGGACAGGCUGCCAAAGCCGCGUGAUGCAUAGGCUUGCGAGGGAAUGGCCAAAUAGUUGGU
rnacentral:rRNA from 1 species